rnacentral:tRNA from 1 species
GUCCAGCUCAGUUGGUUAGAGCGUGGUGCUGGUAACGCCAGGUUUGCAGGUUUGAUCCCUGUAUGGGACA